UGUAGGUGGAAGCAGUGGUGGAGGAGGAGGAUGAGGUAGCUAACACUGUUUUAUAUAUAUAUAUAUAUAUAUAUAUAUAUAUCAAUAAAAGAUUUUAAUUGUGGUAGCCCCAAAAUAUUGGGACAUAUAAAAAAAGACAGAGUAGCUGUUGACAUUAUAGUUGCGCAGGCACUUUGUUGACUCUAGAGAACCUCGGGCCAAUCGCACAUCCCCGUGGCAGCGACUUUGUAUGCGGAUGUCAUCCACAUCAACUUUCGAUGCAAGUUUCUGCGCCUACCAUAGUGACCACAGGUAAUCGGGAAUCAGGGCUCCAUUCCGUACAGGGACCCUGAGAAAUGGCUACCACAUGCAAGGAAGGCAGCA